CCUACGGGAGGCAGCAGUGGGGAAUAUUGCACAAUGGGGGAAACCCUGAUGCAGCGACGCCGCGUGAGUGAAGAAGUAUUUCGGUAUGUAAAGCUCUAUCAGCAGGGAAGAAAAUGACGGUACCUGAUUAAGAAGCCCCGGCUAACUACGUGCCAGCAGCCGCGGUAAGACGUAGGGGGCAAGCGUUAUCCGGAUUUACUGGGUGUAAAGGGAGCGUAGACGGCAAGGCAAGCCAGAAGUGAAAGGGCAGGGCGCAACCCUGUACAUGCUUUUGGAACUGUGGUGCUAGAGUGCAGGAGAGGUAAGUGGAAUUCCUAGUGUAGCUGUGAAAUGCGUAGAUAUUAGGAGGAACACCAGUGGCGAAGGCGGCUUACUGGACUGUAACUGACGUUGAGGCUCGAAAGCGUGGGGAGCAAACAGGAUUAGAUACCCCUGUAGUC
rnacentral:rRNA from 1 species